rnacentral:rRNA from 1 species
CGGCACGGGUGAGUAACACGUAUCCAACCUGCCGUCUACUCUUGGACAGCCUUCUGAAAGGAAGAUUAAUACAAGAUGGCAUCAUGAGUUCACAUGUUCACAUGAUUAAAGGUAUUCCGGUAGACGAUGGGGAUGCGUUCCAUUAGAUAGUAGGCGGGGUAACGGCCCACCUAGUCUUCGAUGGACAGGGGUUCUGAGAGGAAGGUCCCCCACAUUGGAACUGAGACACGGUCCAA